GAUGAACGCUAGCGGGAGGCCUAACACAUGCAAGCCGAGCGGUAUUAUUUCUUCGGAAAUGAGAGAGCGGCGUACGGGUGCGGAACACGUGUGCAACCUGCCUUUAUCUGGGGGAUAGCCUUUCGAAAGGAAGAUUAAUACUCCAUAAUAUAUUGAACGGCAUCGUUUAAUAUUGAAAGCUCCGGCGGAUAGAGAUGGGCACGCGCAAGAUUAGCUAGUUGGUGAGGUAACGGCUCACCAAGGCGAUGAUCUUUAGGGGGCCUGAGAGGGUGAUCCCCCACACUGGUACUGAGACACGGAACAGACUCCUACGGGAGGCAGCAGUGAGGAAUAUUGGUCAAUGGGUGCAAGCCUGAACCAGCCAUCCCGCGUGAAGGACGACUGCCCUAUGGGUUGUAAACUUCUUUUGUAUAGGGAUAAACCUACUCUCGUGAGGGUAGCUGAAGGUACUAUACGAAUAAGCACCGGCUAACUCCGUGCCAGCAGCCGCGGUAACAC
rnacentral:rRNA from 1 species